AUUGAACGCUGGCGGCAUGCCUUACACAUGCAAGUCGAACGGUAACGCGGGGCAACCUGGCGACGAGUGGCGAACGGGUGAGUAAUGUAUCGGAACGUGCCCAGUUGUGGGGGAUAACUGCUCGAAAGAGCAGCUAAUACCGCAUACGACCUGAGGGUGAAAGCGGGGGAUCGCAAGACCUCGCGCAAUUGGAGCGGCCGAUAUCAGAUUAGGUAGUUGGUGGGGUAAAGGCCUACCAAGCCGACGAUCUGUAGCUGGUCUGAGAGGACGACCAGCCACACUGGGACUGAGACACGGCCCAGACUCCUACGGGAGGCAGCAGUGGGGAAUUUUGGACAAUGGGGGCAACCCUGAUCCAGCCAUGCCGCGUGCGGGAAGAAGGCCUUCGGGUUGUAAACCGCUUUUGUCAGGGAAGAAAAGACUCCUACUAAUACUGGGGGUUCAUGACGGUACCUGAAGAAUAAGCACCGGCUAACUACGUGCCAGCCGCCGCAGUAACAC
rnacentral:rRNA from 1 species